rnacentral:rRNA from 1 species
AAAUUGAAGAGUUUGAUCAUGGCUCAGAUUGAACGCUGGCGGCAGGCCUAACACAUGCAAGUCGAGCGGCAGCGGAAAGUAGCUUGCUACUUUGCCGGCGAGCGGCGGACGGGUGAGUAAUGUCUGGGAAACUGCCUGAUGGAGGGGGAUAACUACUGGAAACGGUAGCUAAUACCGCAUAACGUCGCAAGACCAAAGAGGGGGACCUUCGGGCCUCUUGCCAUCAGAUGUGCCCAGAUGGGAUUAGCUAGUAGGUGGGGUAAUGGCUCACCUAGGCGACGAUCCCUAGCUGGUCUGAGAGGAUGACCAGCCACACUGGAACUGAGACACGGUCCAGACUCCUACGGGAGGCAGCAGUGGGGAAUAUUGCACAAUGGGCGCAAGCCUGAUGCAGCCAUGCCGCGUGUAUGAAGAAGGCCUUCGGGUUGUAAAGUACUUUCAGCGGGGAGGAAGGUGCUGAGGUUAAUAACCUCAGCAAUUGACGUUACCCGCAGAAGAAGCACCGGCUAACUCCGUGCCAGCAGCCGCGGUAAUACGGAG